GCCUGACCCAUCAUGUACUCAUAAAUAUCUCUGAAAUGAACGAGCAAAUUUCACUUCGGCAAUCAAAUAAGAGACAAAUGCUGCACCACAGAGCCUUCAGCCCCUCUUCCCUGUGCAGCCUGGGACAUUUUCUGUGAUCACACAGGAAUGCUGCCCGGCAGGAACAAGAAAGGACGAUCUCUCCACAGAGAUCAUUUCCACAUUUCCCAAUCAAGACCCACGUUGGGGCAUCCGUUUGCAACGAAGCAGAUGCAGGCAAGUGAGAGAACAAGUCUCCCACUCAGCUAGGAAAAGCCUUCUUCUCAGACUCAG